rnacentral:lncRNA from 1 species
AAAAAUUAGCCAAGCACAGUGGCAUGUGUCUGUAGUACCAGCUACUUGGGAGGCUGAGUGAAGAGGGAGGAUUGCUUGAGGCCAGGAGUUGGAGACCAGACUGGGCAACAUAGCGAGACCUCAGCUUGGAAGUAAGGAAGGAAAGAAGGGAGGGAAGGAGGGAUGAAGGUAGAAAGAAACGGGACAAGAUGGACUCCUGAGGCCAUCCUAAUUCUGGAACACAAUACAAUGGCCUCUGUAUGUUAGGAGGGCUCAUUUGGCUUCUCUCUAAGCCAGCAGUCCACAUCUUUUUGGCACCAAGGACCAGUUUUGUAGAAGACAAUUUUCCACGGAUGGGGGCGGGGGGUGGGGGUGGGAGGGGAUGGUUUCGGGAUGAAACUGUUCCACCUCAGAUCAUCAGACGUUAGAUUCUCGUAAGAGGUGCCCAACCUACAUCCCUUGCACGUGCAGUCCACAAUAGGGUUUGUGCUUCUAUGGGAAUAUAAUGCCACACUGAUCUGACAGGAGUCAGGGCUCAGGUAGUAAUGCUCACUCACCUGCCGCACACCUCCUGCUGUGCGGCCGGUUCCCAAUAGGCCAUGGAAUGCUUAUUGGUCCACAGCCCUGGAGUUGGGCACCCCUCUUCUAAGGCAGAAGCUUCUACUGUCUUAGGAGCAGCGUCCUGGCCUCCACAGCAGGGAGAGAGCAGGAAUACCCAGCCACAGAUACUGGUCAAGAUAUUGAUCAACUUCCUACCAUCAUGGUGGAGGCAAGCCUGGAGGCCUCUGGGUGGUCAUCAGGUCACCCCAGCACAUUUUCCUGCCCCGGACUCCUGGCCACGCUGAGGUUGCUGUGAGCAGACACGAUGUGCAGGGUCAUGGAUGUGCAGCUCAAACUCCUUGACAAGCGGGAGAUUUAUUUUAUGGCCCAAGCAGUUUGGAGACAAAAUCGUAAGGUGCUCACCCAUCCAGUGUCUCUUCAGCCGGCACUGGGAGGUGUCAAACUGACCACAUUCGACUGCCCCUUCCGCCCGCAGAAUAUGGGUCUGCGUUUCUCUUUCCCUCUUGGUGGCCAAGAACUGUCAACAUCCAGCUGUGGCUCUGCACUCAGCCGCCGCUCAGCCUGCUCAGGUUGAAAGGUCAAACGUUGUCUGGAAUUGGCAGCCCAGCUUACUAGCAGCUCUUCUGUCUUCAGAGUGCAGUGAGGGGAGCUGUCAGAGGGCUGAGGCAAGGACCAGAGAGGGAACUCCUGCGACAGAGAAAGCUCAGCCCUGGUUAUGUUCUGGAGGGAGCAUAGCAGGGUCUGUCCCAGGAACUUUAUUAGUUAGCGGUUAAGAUCCUCAUCCACAGAAAAGCCGGUAGGAAUUAGCCAGGUGGUGUGUGCCUAUGGUCCCAGCUACCCAGGAGGGUGAGGAGGGAGGACUGCUUGAGCCCAGGAGGUUGAGGCUGCGGCUAGCUAUGAUUGUGUCACUGCGCUCCAGCCUGGGUGACAAAGCAAGAUCCUGACUCAAAAAAAAAAAAAAAAAAAAAAGGAAGAAAGAAGAAAGAGAGAGAAGAAAGAAAGGAGAGAAAGAGAAGGAAGGAAGGAGAAAGGAAAGAAGGAAGGAAGAAAAGGAAGAAAGAAUGACAAAGAAAAGAAAGAAAGACGAAAAGGAAAGGAAAAGAAAAGAAAAAAGAAACAAAAGCAGGAAAGUGAGGGGAGAGGGCCAGGAAGACAGAAGACAGGAUGGGCAAGAAGGGUGGGAAGGAUUCCCACACCAGAUUCAGGAGUGGCUCUGCAUUGGGAAAUCCAUCUACGACUGCUGGGGACUUGGUUUUGCAAACAUGCACAGAGAAACCUUCAUCCACCUCUGUGCAAUGUUGGACUGAAGUAGAAAUGAGCCGCUGUUUUCUGGAAGCACCCCAUUUCUUUGAGCUGAUCUUCUCUAAUAAUGAAUUCUGGUGAAGCCUGCCAUUCACAGCACCCUGCCCUCCCAUCUGUAGGAGGUGGGAACAGGACCCAGGCCAGUUGAUCAGAGAGCUCCCUUGCCCUGGGAUGAGCAUGUGACCCAGAUGUCUCAAUCAUGGGGAAGAUCCUCUUGCCUGUUAUAGCCACUAUGCUGGAAGAACAGGAUGUGGGCUUGCUGGCCGCCAUCUUCCAGUCCACGCUGGGAACCCAUCUGCAGGAGGAGGGAAGGAGGACAACCCAGUUUGAGGGAGCAUAUGGACAGCAGCUAUAGAAGGCUCCAUAUGUGCCCAGUGCUAGAUCCACCCCAUCCCUUCCUGUUCCAUAAAUCCAUACAUCUUCUCUCACUUUUGCUUACCCUAGUUUGAGUUACAUUUCUGACACCUGCCACCAUAAAAGCCCAAAUGAUUACAGAGAAUAUUUGGCUACAGGAAAGACCCUGCAGUCUGUGAAAAAAGAGGCUGCUGGUGCAUAGUCAUCGUAGACCAGUGCAAAGAGUGAAACAGAAACAUCCAGCUUAAUCUGCAAAAGCCUUUUUGGAUCCUUGAGAGGCGCUCAUUAACUUACAGCAAAUUGGUGAGCUGAUACUCUUCUUUCAUCCAGGUGAGUGCAUUAACUAGGUUAAUGUUCCUGUCUCAAGGGACUGCUGUAGGUUAGGGUGAAUGAAUGAAAGAAGCAAGUUUUUAAACAGGAAAAAGGCUGCAGGGAAGUUGAGGUGACAAGCAUCGUUUCACCCCCAAUGGAAGGUGAGCUUGUCUGUUAGGUCCCAGGGACUGAAUUGGAGUUCCGUGGUUAGGGAAUGACCCAUCUCAACAAGCAACUUCCAUCAUCCUUCCAUGGGGAUCUGAUUAAGGUCUUCUCCAGAAGGAGAUGGCCUCGUGAGUUGGGGCUUUUUAAUCUCCCUGUCCCUCCUCUAGAAGGGCAUUGCUACUGGCCUUGCCCUGCCAAGUCUUCAGUCUACAACAACACUGCCCGGCUUCAGACACAGCCCAGAUCCUUCCCAGAUCCUUCCCAGACACAGCCCAGAUCCUUCCCAGACAAAAAGUCCUUCCGACUUUUUGCCCUUUCGGCCCAGCCUUCCCUAUCACUUAUGCUGAAAUUGGGAACGUUUCCCAAACCAACAAUUUCCCAGUCCACAAUGUUCCCUUGCUGAGUGUCCCCACAGGAGAGACAGGCAGCCUGAUAAAUAAAACCAGUCAUAAAACCUCCCUGCCUUAGCAAAGGGACUGCUUUGCCAGGCUACCGUCACAUAGCACUCCUGUCUCCCGUUUGACUUCAUAUAGUGAAAAUUGUCUAAAAGAUAAGGCAGGAGCUCUGGUUGACACCCCCCCUGCCCCCGCCUCAUAGAUCUCUCUCUAGAAGCAUUGGAAGAGGCCGUCUCAAAAAAGAAAAAUAAAAUAGAAGCAUUGGAGGAAAGAUGUGGUUUGUAGUGAAACAAAUUGGAAGUCAAGCUCAGCCUCAACCACUUACUUGCUUCUGACCUUGGCAUUAGGAAGAGGCCGGGUGCCGUGGCUCACACCUGUAGUGCCAGCGCUUUGGAAGGCUAAGAUGGGCAGACUGCUUGAACUCAGGAGUUUGAGACCAGCCUGGGCAAUGUGUCAAGACCCCAUCUCUACAAGAAAUUUUAAAAUUAGCCAGGCAUUGUGGAAUCCUGCUUUGUGUAGUUCAGUGCCUGCUGCCAAGUCAGAGCUGUGACCUCAAUGAAAGUGGCCCAGCCACAGCAAACCUCAGUUUCCAUAACAGUCCUGGGAUCCAAUGUGGCUUUCACACUACAUGUCACUUCACUCUGUUAUCUCUGACAGAAAACCAACUCAAACUGGCUUAAGCAAAAAGGGUACUCACUGGGCCAUGUAACCAAAAAGUGUAGGCAUACAUGUGGCUUCAGGAAUGGCUGGAUCCAGGCACUCACAUGUGGCAUCGGGAGUCCCUCUCCUGGCUGUUGGUUUCAGUUUUCUCUGCAGGGGUUUCAUUCAAGCACUGGUUCCCUCCUCAUAGUGGCAAGGUGGCUGCCCAGGACAAGAGGCUUAUAGCCACGGGCUCAGCUACUUAAGGAUAAGUUCCAUCAGAAGCCCAAGUUGAGGCCGGGCUUGGUGCUCACACCUGUAAUCCCAGCACUUUGGGUGGCCGAGGUGGGUGGAUCACUUGAGGUCAGGAGUUCGAGACCAGCCUGGCCAACACAGUGAAACCCUGUCUCUACUUAAAAAAAAACAAAACAAAACAAAAAAAAAAACCAUGAAAAUUAGCUGGGUGUGGUGGCACGUGCCUGUAAUCCCAGCUACUUGCAAGGCUGAGGCAGGAGAAUCACUUGAACCUGGCAGGCGGAAGUUGCAGUGAGACGAGAUCACGUCAUUGUACUCCAGUCUGGGCAACAGAACGAGACUUCGUUGGCAAUGACUGGGUCAUCUGUCCAGUCCUGAACCGGUCACUGUGUCAGGUAGAAGCAUUGUUUGAUUGGCCAGGCCUGGGACACACGGCCAUCUCCAGACCUAGGAAUGGCAUCAUCUCUACCCAAACCCCGUGAACCAAGAGUUGGGGAGGAGCAAAGCUUCAGAGAAAACUCUGGGCCCUGUCAUCAAGCAGAGGAGGAAAGGAGGCCACACAGACUGAGACAUCAAGUACCCACUGUGCCCUCACCACCAGCUCCCGCCCUGGCCAGUGCACUCCUGGACCAUCUCUCCUCCCCGUCUUGUUCACAGUCACCCUCUCACCCCAGCAGAGAUCAGGCCAGGGUACUGGUGGCAAGUGAGUGAAGGGUUUCAGCAAGGGGGUCCCCACCUUCCAGGCACAGUGUAAGUGGACCCCCCACACUUGGGGGCUCUCCUGGGUUGCACAGUGUCCUCUGAAAAUUCACAUCCACCUGGAACCUGCAAAUAUGACCUUAUUUGGAAAUGGAGUCUUUGCAGAUGUUGUCAAGAUAAGAUGAAGUCAUACUGUUUUAGGAUGGGCCCUCUAUAUGGCACGACUGGGGUUCUUAUACGAAGAGGGACCCUGGCACACAGAUGCAUACAGGGAGAGUGCUGUGUGAUGAGAAAGGCAGAGAUUGCAGUGAUGCUGCCACCAGCCAAGGAGUCACCAUCAGCCAGGAGAUGGGCAUGGAUCUGAUUCUCCCUGGGAACCUCCAGAAGGAGCCAACCCUGCCAACACCUUGGUUUUGGACUUCUGUUCCCCGCAACUGUGAGACAAUACAUUCUGUGGUUUUAAGCUUUAUGAUAAUUUGUUACUGUAGCCCUGGGAAAGGAAUACAAGGGUAGACAGACACUGAUCAAGUAAGCAAACAAAUGUGAAAUUGCCCUGUGACAAGGGAGGUGCGGGGUGCCUGUGUUGGGGAAGAAUUCUCUGAGACUUGAAGUCAGAGAAGGAGUUAGCUAAUGGGGCCGACAGGGUUCUGCACACGCAGCUCACGGCCCAGAUCUUGUUGGCCAAGUGUUUUUGCAGGGAUUAGGAACUAAGAAUGGUUUUGCAAGAAGAACAUCACAGGCUGAGGGGACAGCAUGGGCAAAGGCCAUGAAGUGGGAGGCGCCCUCUGUGAAACCAACAAGCUUUCAGCCACGUGGGUCUCUCUGACGCGUUGCCUCAGCCACAGAGGGCUUUAAAAAGCCCCGAAACUGGACAGGUGUCACUGCCUGUGGCAGUAGCGGCCAUUUGGCGCCUGUGGUUUCAACUCCACCCGUUUCACAUGUCUAUGUUACCAGACUGGCCCCUGAAGGGGAUCUGUGUGCCAGGCCCUGACCUGCCGGGCUUUGGAAACAUCCUCGACAGUGUCCCCUGACCUGCGCCCCGCCUUGUGGAGUGAGGCCUGGUUGCCCAAGCUGGCUGGGCCGGGCUGUUUGUUGCUUCCAACAAACAUAGGAGAGAACGUAUGGCUGCUUUUUAUUGCCAGUGAGAGUUCCGCGAGGCCUGGCCCGAGAUGUGGCUGGCGUGAGGGGUCCCGGACCUGCUGUGCUGGGGACGCACCCAGUUCUGUGUCGCUUGGUCCAGUGAGGACUCGAGCCCCUUGGAGGCGGGGCCUCGGGCUGCAGGGGCGGGGCCCCGAGCCGCCUGGGGGUGGGGCCUCAGGCUCUUUGGGGGCGGGGCCUCAAGCUGUCUGGGGACGGAGCCUCCGGCCGGCUGGGGGCGGGGCCUCAUGCCUAAGGGGCGGGGCCUCGAGCUUUCUGGGGGUGGGGUCUCAAGCUUCAGGGUCGGGGCCUGGAGCCGCCUGGGGACGGGGCGAUCUGUUGGGGAGGAGGUUCUCGAACUGCUGAGGAGGAUCGCAGUGCUUUUGCUUCCUCUAGGAGACCAGCUGCACAGGCUGGAACAUGCCAUCUCUAUGCCUGUUUUCCCGUCGAUAAAUCCAGAGACAUUACUCUCAUCAUUUCUUCCUCUGUACACAAUAUUCAUAUAUGUAACCCCUUGGUAAAGCAGUUGUAAGAAUUAAACAAGAGGAAUUGCUCUUUCAUUCAGCAAAUAUUUUUUGAGCAGCUACUAGAUGCCAGGCACUGUUUUAGACGCAAGUGAUACUUCAGGAAACAUAAUCAGAC